rnacentral:lncRNA from 1 species
AUCAAUCGAGAACUUAACUUGUUUUGAAUACACUUCUUGUUCCUGACACAACUGACAAUGAAUUUAAUAGUUGGUAUUGAAGAUUUCAAGUUUGAAUUUUAAUUGAUUUACAUUUCUAACUAAAUUUAUUUCUAAAAAGAUUAAAUAAAACGGAUAGUAUGUUAUUUAUCUCUUAAAAAAAUUUAUUUUGAAUACUUGGUGGUGGUUUGAGAGGAGUUAUGUAAUGCUUAAAUAGUUCCAUAUCGGAUGAAAAAUCGAUUUCGAUCAGAAUAUAUAUGACAUACACGCUUGUAAUUAUAACUGGGUUUAAAUGUUUUAGACUGAUUAUUUGGAUCCAAUGAGUUAUUGUUGCUAGCUGGUUGGAUCGUUAUAAGUUUAAUUUCGGCUUCUUUGAAAAGCACUUUUGCAC